AAGGAGUCUAACAUAUCUGCGAGUAUUUGGGUGUCAAACCCGAGUGCGCAAUGAAAGUGAACGUAGGAGCCACGCGCAAGCUACAGCUUCGACCGAUCUGGAUCUUUAGUGAUGGAUUUGAGUAAGAGCAUAUAUGUUGGGACCCGAAAGAAGGUGAACUAUGCCUGAAUAGGGCGAAGCCAGAGGAAACUCUGGUGGAGGCUCGUAGCGAUUCUGACGUGCAAAUCGAUCGUCAAAUAUGGGCAUGGGGGCGAAAGACUAAUCGAACCAUCUAGUAGCUGGUUCCUGC
rnacentral:misc_RNA from 1 species